AAACUGGAUGCUGACGGGGCCACCUCUGAUCUUGUGAGGAACCAGUCAGGGAGCAAUUGCUGAAGCUGCAAAAGACUUCUGAAUUAACAAUGAAGAAUUCAGACCAUCUUUUACUCUCGAACAAAAAGAACACAGCUAACCAGAGACAACCAGUGACUGAGCUGGGGCGUGAGAGCCCAGUCCUUUGGAUUUUUGAGCAGUGGUUCCAUGUGGCUUACCUGAGCUAUCCUGAGCUCAUCAAAGGACAGAAAUCUGCUGAGACCCUUGUUCUAAGUAUGUACUUUUCUUCCCAAGUCUCUUUAUUGAUAGGCACAACAGCUUGAAGAAACCAAAUGGACUGGAUGCCAAAAGCAUCCAGUGAUCCCCUUUGUGACCCCCUAUUAGACGAAGUCAAGACUGGCAUUAACAGAGCCAAGACUGCAAGUGAUACAGCCCAGGCAUGUGUAACAGAAACAGCUUUGACCUCUAACAACAUCCAGAACCAAUGAUUCCUCCUCAUGGAACCAAGAAGAUGGGACAUGGCCAGAACCUGCUGCAAUAUGACCACUGGCACUCUUUCAAAGCAAGGG
rnacentral:antisense_RNA from 1 species